UUGCAGUCGUGGCCGAGCGGUUAAGGCGAUGGAUUAGAUAUCCAUUGAGAUAAUCUCGCGUAGGUUCGAAUCCUACCGAAUAAG